UAAGCUCCACAGUGGUUUAUAUGUACUUUUCUUUGUGCUAUUUAUCAUGGUAAUUAUUUUUUGGUAACUAACGCUAUGUCCUCUUCUUUCAGGCGGUGCUGUGUGUUGCUCUUUAUACAUCCAGGAUCUAGCAGGGCGCCUGGCACAUAGGAUGUCAAUAAAUCCUGGUGAAUGGAUGGAAGAUGGAGUGGAUCCUAACUUCAUUCUCUCCUGAAUUCUUUCUAGACCAACUCCAUCAGAUGUUCCGGAGACUGAGGAAUCAAAGCCUUAGAAGACCAGGGUUAGGAAAUUAUACAGGAACAGGACUAACAGGAGAACAGGACACUCUCCAAACUCUCCCUCCAGUCUAAGAUGAUGCCAGCUCCAGGAAGUUGGGGAUUGUCUUCCUCACUCCUGUAUUCCCGGCUCCUAGAACAGUGACUGUCACCCAGCAGCUGUUGAGCUAAUGGCUAUUGAGUGGACAACCAUUCGAGCAACAAUGCAGUCAGCUUCAUGGACUUUGUUUUACUGAGGGGCAUCUGGAGAGUUGGGACCAGAGGUGAAUUGCUCAAGAGAAGAGGGAAGCAGUGAGGACACAGCUGUCCUCCUCCAUCUAUCCCCAGGUCAGGCAGCCACCUCCUCUAAGGCAGAGAAUAUUGUUUGAAAGGCACUUGUCUUCACUUAUUUUGUGCUGCUACAACAGGAUACCACAACCUGAGGAAUUUAUAAUGAACAGAAAUUUAUUGGCUUAUGGUUCUAGAGACUGGGAAGUCCAAGAUCAUGAGCAUCUGGUGAGAUCACUGACAUCUGGUCAGGGCCUUCUUGCUGCAUCAAACAUGAUGGAAGGGCAAAGAGGGGGUGAGAGAGACAAGAGGGUGCCAACCCCUCCCAUGAUAAUGGCAUAAAUCCAUUCAUGAGGGCGGUGCCCCCAUGACCCAAACACCUACCAUUAGGCCCCACCUCCCAACACUACUGCGUUGGGGGUCAAAUUUCCAGCACUUGAACUUUGGGGAACACAUUCAAACCACAGCAGCACUGUGGCAGACACUGCCAGUUCCCUGCCCAACAGGCAUUCCCCCUUUUCCUUGGCAACAGAUGCUAAAUUUAUUCAGGGUUGCAUGGUGCCAGCUUAAAAAGCUCAGCUCUGGGCUCCCUUGCAUCUGGGAAUGGCCUAUGGCACAUGUAGCCAGUUAGAUACAAACAGAAGCUGUUGGGAUUGGGGUGGUUAGAGGAAAGGUUGUUAAAAAGGAUGGACUUGAUCUGACAUGUCUGCCUCCUUCUUUUUGUCUGAAACUGGAGAUUUGGCCACUUAUCUGUCUUGAAAACCUGAUGAAAGCUACACACAUAGGAGGGCAGAAUGGAAAGACACACAGAACCUGGGUUUCUGAUAGCCCUGUACUAUUGGUCUCCAAAUUUCUUGGUAUGUGAGAAAAGCAAUCUCCUAUUUGGUUAAGCCACUGUAGCCACUGACAGGCAUCUGAACACAGCCCUGAUGGCUGCUUGCACCACCUGACUAGCUGCUGAGAUGCUGAAGUUCUUACAGAGUCCCUGAGUCCCAGGUCAGCCAAAUUAGCACAAAUUACUGAAGACACCAUCUCACAAUGGAUGGAGGCACUCCAGGGAGGCCGAGAACAACUGAAUGAUGCCUGAACCAACACAUGCAAGCACACACACACACACACACACACACACACACCUAUUAGCUCAGACAACUGUGAGCCGGGAGAAUUUUGGACACAUAAGAGAGAGUGUUCUUGAAGAUGAGCAGGGACUGUAACCAUGAACUUCCUUUCCCAAAAGAAAAACUGUCCAGUCAUUCUGAAAGGAGGUGGAGUUGCACGUUGGGAGGGGAAAUCUAGAAUUCUGACCUGAUAUGCUUAGCGUUUGCACUUACGCAGCUGUGCUCCCUGUGAAGGUACAGGAAUCCUGCUCUUCACCAAGAUCCAGGGGCAGCAAGCAGCUCUGCUCUUUCACGCACAGCAUACAUCUCCACCUGUGUUACCACUGUCAGAAGGUGCACUUUCCGUCUGAAUUAACAUAAAGCAUGAACCAUACUGGCUGUUAGGGACUGAAUGUUUAUAUCCCUCAAAAAUCAAAUGUUUAAGCCCUAACCCCCAACGUGACUAUAUUUAAAGACAGAGCCUAUAAGGAGGAAGUGCAGAGGACACACCAUGUGAGGACACAGCAAGAAGGCAGCUGUUUGUAAGCCAGGAACAGAGCCCUCACCAGAAACUGACUUUCUAGCACGUGAUCACAGACUUCCAGCCUCCAGAACUGUGAGAAAAUAAAUGUCUGUUUUUAAUCAGUCUAUGGUAUUUUGUGAUGGCAGCCUGACUAAUGCAAAUCUGUUCUGACCAAAACAGACUUUACCCCCCUAAUAAAAAAAGCCAAAGAUUAAAUGAUUUCUGCCUAAUAUCUUCAAAUUUCCAGAACCUUUCCAAAAUAGAAGCUGAAGUCAUUGGCAUUAUUGGAGCAGACUUAGAGGACAAGGCUGGAAAUGUUUCUGGUUUGUCCUUCUUGUGAAAUAGAACAUUAUGAGAAAGGCCAAGUGCUUCUCACAGUUGAUCCUUUGAGACCAGGGCCUCCAUAAAUAUUUGAUGAUGUUUGAUGAAUGAACAAAUGAACACAUGAACAAAAGGCCAUAACGGGGCUUUCUGUGACCCAGGAGAAUGAGGUAGAGCCAGCGUGGCUCACUGCUCCCGAAGAUGUAAAAUCACAGAUGCGCUCAAGGUUUCCAGGACAAGUGGUCUUUGUAUUAUGGAAUAAAAGGAUUCCUGGAAAGUUGUGCAUAGACCAAAAUUUGCAAAAUAACUUAUAUUUUAAAUUAAUCACUAUAUUCUAAGAUCCAUCUCAGUAAUCCAUUGAAAAACCAAGAAUUUUUUCUCAGAAGAUGAGUGUCCCCCAUUGUGGAUACAUAUAUAUAUAUAUAUAUAUAUUUUUUAGACGAAGUCUUGCUCUGUCACCCCGGCUGAAGGGCAGUGGCAUGAUCUUGGCUCACGGCAACCUCUGCCUCCUGGGUUCAAGCAAUUCUCAUGCCUCAGCUUCCUGAGUAGCUGGGAUUACAGGCGUGCACCAACAUGCCUGGCUAAUUUUUGUAUUUUGUAGCGAGACAGGGUUUCGCUACAUUGGUCAGGCUGGUCUUGAACUCCCGACCUCAAGUGAUCUGCCCGCCUUGGCCUCCCAAAGUGCUGGGAUUACAGGCAUGAGCCACCACUCCCGGACAUGGAUGCAUCUCUUACAGAAGCUUGGACCCAAUUUCAGCCUCAAUGAAAGAGGAAGGAAAAGUGAACUGAUAAUGAAGCUAAGACAACAAAGCCAAGAAGUACCUCCAGGACCAUCCCAGCCCCUCGUUUUACAGGGCCAGACAGACAACUCCAUGGGCAGAGGAAGGAAGAUGGAGAGGCAGAGAGCGAAUGUGAAGGCUUCAGUUCGGAGGCAGAGACAGGGAUGGAGCGCACUUGGCCUGAUGCUGGUCAUCUCCUGUGCACUGAGCUCAGGCUGGGACAGGCUCUGGGAGAGUGUGCUGCCGCUGGCUCAGAAGGCUGAUUCCCUUUCCGAAGUCAUCACUCAUUAGGAGGAGAAUCCAACAAAUAUUUAUUUAAUAAUGAGAGGCAUUGGACUCUGAUUUAGAGACCAUGGGUUCUGGUCUUGAUUCCAAGCAGUUAACAUCUCCCAAUAAGAAAAGGAAAUGGGUGAUGGCUGAGGCCUCCAGCAGCUCACACCUUCCAGGCUUUUAGGGUCUUUGUGUCUAUGAAACAUCCACAAAAUGUGGCCUAUUAACCCCAGAUAUUUGCUGUUUUCAAGAUACAAAAGACUGUCAGAGUUUAAGAUGUGCAUAUGACUGGGGAGCAGCCCUUCACUCAAGCUGCAGUUUAUCUCAACAGAGCAGUCAGGUAAAAGUAACACAGCUACCAGGGGAUUGGAGAGACACCUCUGUGAGGGGGUUGGGGCUCUCUCAGCCUCACUGAAUGAAAUCAUGAAAGAUAUUGAUAAGGUCCCUAGUAACACUU